rnacentral:rRNA from 1 species
AGUGAACGCUGGCGGUAGGCCUAACACAUGCAAGUCGAACGGCAGCACAGUCAGAGCUUGCUCUUACGGGUGGCGAGUGGCGGACGGGUGAGGAAUACAUCGGAAUCUACUUUUUCGUGGGGGAUAACGUCGGGAAACUUACGCUAAUACCGCAUACGACCUACGGGUGAAAGCAGGGGAUCUUCGGCCCUUGCGCGAUUGAAUGAGCCGAUGUCGGAUUAGCUAGUUGGCGGGGUAAAGGCCCACCAAGGCGACGAUCCGUAGCUGGUCUGAGAGGAUGAUCAGCCACACUGGAACUGAGACACGGUCCAGACUCCUACGGGAGGCAGCAGUGGGGAAUAUUGGACAAUGGGCGCAAGCCUGAUCCAGCAAUACCGCGUGGGUGAAGAAGGCCUUCGGGUUGUAAAGCCCUUUUGUUGGGAAAGAAAAGCAGCAGGUUAAUACCCCGCUGUUCUGACGGUACCCAAAGAAUAAGCACCGGCUAACUUCGUG